rnacentral:ncRNA from 1 species
UUAAAUGUUGUGAGGAAAAGAGUAGAUUAUUAUUUAAUUUAAAGAGAGCUUAUGUUUGGUGAAAAUAAGUAAUAAAUAUAAUUGAAUAUGGUUUCCAAAACUGAUUUAUUGAUAUGUAAAUAAAUUCGUUACUCGCGUUAAGAGAAAAAGGUAAUUAAUAUUACAAAGUAGAAUGGUACCACGAAAAAUUCGUUUCUAUG